rnacentral:rRNA from 1 species
UGAGAAGUGGGAAGUAGGAAGUGAGAUAAAGAAGGAAUUGGCCUUGGCCAAUUCCAACAAAAAUCUCACCUCCAACCUCUCGCCUCUCACUUCCCAGAUCAGCGGCGGACGGGUGCGUAACGCGUGGAUAACCUGCCCAAAAGACCGGGACAACGCCGGGAAACUGGCGCUAAUACCGGAUACGCUCCCUCCCCCGCCUGGGGGAAGGAGGAAAGGGGUAACCCGCUUUUGGAUGGGUCCGCGUCCCAUUAGCUUGUUGGCGGUGUAACGGCCCACCAAGGCGACGAUGGGUAGCCGGCCUGAGAGGGCGGCCGGCCACACUGGGACUGAGACACGGCCCAGACUCCUACGGGAGGCAGCAGUGGGGAAUCUUCCGCAAUGGGCGCAAGCCUGACGGAGCAACGCCGCGUGAGCGAAGAAGGCCUUCGGGUUGUAAAGCUCUGUCUGGGGGGACGAAGACCUGACGGUACCCCCGAAGGAAGCCCCGGCUAACUACGUGCCAGCAGCCGCGGUAAAACGUAGGGGGCGAGCGUUGUCCGGAAUUACUGGGCGUAAAGGGCGUGUAGGCGGCUCAAGCAGUCAGGGGUGAAAUACCGCGGC